CAAAGAAAUAGUGAGUAGGGAAGGAAGAACCAAGUCUCUGUUCUCUCUACUCAUAACUUUCUUCCAUUCUAUUUCUAUAUCAUCCUUCGCCUCUUCUCUUCUUCCUUUCCCUCAUUCUCUUACUCUCAUUCCCAACAACACCACCGUUUCCAGACAAACAAUCCUCCUCCAGCUUCCAGAGCUUUCCGCGUUUCCGAAUGUCCACCGCACCGGCGCAGCCUCCGGUGAAGUCCCAGCCUCUGCACAACUUCGCCCUCCCCUUCUUGAAAUGGGGAGCCAGCGGCAAGAACCACACCAACGCAGCGCACCACCACCGCUACCGCCGCCCCUCCUCCCACCCCUCCGAUCACGCCUCCGAACCUGACUCCGACCCCGACUCCCGCCCCCACCGCCUUGGAUCCAGGACCGCCCGCAACCGAUUCGCACUCCCCACCUGCUCCCUCAAGCCGCUACCUCCACCACCACAGCCACCUCAGGCGCCGUCGUGCAACGAUGAAACCGACGACGAAGCUGCCAAGCGCGACAUCGAGGACGCCGAGGAGGCCGUGCAGAAGCCGUGGAACUUGCGCCCCCGCAAACCGGCGCUCCCCAAGUCCGCGCUCGAGAUCGGAACUGGUCCUUCACGGAAUCACGCCAACAACGGCGCGGGAGAGUUUCACGACGCCGUUUCGCACCACGGCGAGCACCCCGCCCCGAAGUCGCUCCGGCUGCGAGGGUUUGCGGACACUCAGUGUGCGGAGAAGAAGGAGAAGAGGAAAUUCUGGAUCGCUCUUUCUCGAGAAGAGAUCGAAGAGGACAUCUUUGUCAUGACUGGCUCCAGACCCGCCCGCAGGCCCAGGAAGCGGCCCAAGAACGUCCAGAAACAAAUGGAUAGUGUUUUCCCUGGCUUAUGGCUGGUGGGGAUAACUGCGGAUGCUUACAGAGUCCCUGAUACACCUACGAAGAGGUGAAGCCAAUUCAGAAAAGUAUUGAAGAUUUGGGGAGGUACAGAGGCGUGGAAUUUUGUAAAGAGGAGUAAGUGUUGGAUUGGAAUUUGGAAAGAAGGCUAUGACGAAGAUAACAACAACAAUGAUGCUAGUUUUCUUGUGUUGAUUCCCAGCACUAGGUUUUAGAUGCAAGGGACAACUUUAGUUGAUUUUUAGUAGUUUACAUCUCUGUAAGGAAAGAAAAAUAUGAUAUGGCUUAGGGUAGCGUGCUUGUAGUUAAUUAGCCAAAUCAUCAGUUCAAUUUAUCGGAGGCACUGCAUCUCCUUGCUUCCUUAGUGGCUCCGGAAGCCGACUUUGAUGGAAGACACUGAUGUGGUUGAAAGUUAACUGCAAUGAUUGCAUGCUUUUGAUGCCUUUCCCUAUGUAUAUUAUGUUCUCGUAUUGUUAUUUGAUUUGGUUCUUCUGAA